rnacentral:rRNA from 1 species
UACGUAGGGUGCGAGCGUUAAUCGGAAUUACUGGGCGUAAAGCGUGCGCAGGCGGUUCGUUGUGUCGGUGGUGAAAGCCCCGGGCUUAACCUGGGAAUGGCCAUGGAAACUGGCGAACUGGAGUGUGGCAGAGGGGGGUGGAAUUCCGCGUGUAGCAGUGAAAUGCGUAGAUAUCGGAAGGAACACCAGUGGCGAAAGCGGCUUCCUGGUCCAGCACCGACGUCAGGCACGAAAGCGUGGGGAGCAAACAGGG